CCAAUAGCGUAUAUUAAAGUUGCUGCAGUUAAAAAGCUCGUAGUUGAAUUUCGGGAUCAAUAUGUUGGUCGUGCCUCGGUACGUACUGGCUUAUUGGUUUCUCCCUUCUGACGAACCAUGAUGUCAUUUAUUUGGUGUUAUGAGGAAUCAGGACUGUUACUUUGAAAAAAUUAGAGUGUUUAAAGCAGGCUCACGCUUGAAUACAUUAGCAUGGAAUAAUGAAAUAGGACGUUUGAUUCUAUUUUGUUGGUUUCUAGGAUCGACGUAAUGAUUAAUAGGGAUAGUUGGGGGCAUUAGUAUUCAAUUGUCAGAGGUGAAAUUCUUGGAUUUAUUGAAGACUAACUACUGCGAAAGCAUUUGCCAAGGAUGUUUUCAUUAAUCAAGAACGAAAGUUAGGGGAUCGAAGACGAUCAGAUACCGUCGUAGUCUUAACCAUAAACUAUGCCGACUAGGGAUCGGAUGAUGUUAAUUUUUUUAAUGACUCAUUCGGCGCCUUACG
rnacentral:rRNA from 1 species